CUUCCAGCUUUUGAUUAAGGUCAUAAUGACAAAGUGUUAAAAUAACACCAGCCUUAUCGUCUUCAUUAUUAUUAUCUUUUAAUUAAGGUCAUAAUGACAAAAAACAAAUCCUGUGUCAAAUAAGCUGGCAUUUUGUGUUGAUUAAAAAUAGCUUGAGUGUUCACACCUAAAAAAAAUCUUCACAGAUCCAAAUGAACAAAAGUCCACCUGAGCUAAAUUAACACAGUUCUGUUUUGUCUUGUCAGGGGCAGUGUUCGUUUUCCCCCCUGAGGCAUCACUUCCUGAGAGGCCUUGCAGCGAGGGUGUGACAUAUGUGAAUAUUCCUGUCAGUCCCACAUCCAAGAAGCAGCUCAACUACAUGGAACUCGAGCUGCAGGAGCCAGGUACCAGCACCCGAGGGACUCAGAGGAAGAGUUCCACCAAAUACGCGCAAAUUGACAUCACUGCCACAGAGACAGCCCACAAAGUUGGCACGCAGCAUGCCCUGGGACGGCAGGAGGGCCUGCACACUCUGGAGCUGAGAAGAAAGGGGACGCCACAUUGACUUCUUCAUCACUGAACUGUUGAUCUCAGGAGGAUGUUUCUGCAUAAGACCGGCCCACCACAUCAAACUGUAAAGAAAUAUAGCUUGGAGGGGUUUAUUUAAGUUCUGACUGUUCCAAAAAGAUCCUCUGAGAUUCGCUGUAGGUUUCCUUCUCUGUUCUGUUCCAUCUUUUGAAUGCAGAUUUGUUUUUCUGGAGGUUGCUUCAGCCAGUCAGCAUAUACCCAAAUCCCAGCAAAUGUCAUCUGAGCAGUGUUCAUUUUCUUAGAUUCAGACUUGUUUCUGUAUUCACAAAGCUGUAAGCUGAAAGAUGGAGCCUCCUUGGAACAGCCUGGCACAGAAUCAGGAGCAACAUUUCAAUCUUGGUCUCCUUUGUGGACUCAGGCAUCUCAUUAAAUAGCAUUAUGUCAGCGCCGGAGCCUCAGGCAAACUUGGAGGAAGAUGUGCCAGUCUUGAGUUGAGUCACCGGUCCUGAUAAACCCCCAGAGCAGAGGCAUUUCACAGCUCCCUCGGGCCAUCCCUAAUAACAUUCAGUAUGCUGUUUUUGUCCUUGUUUGGGAGAACAGAGGAAGGGUGGCGGCAAAGGAAUCAGAGAUGCUGUUUAUUCUGACAAGGAGUUCAAACUUAUUUAUUCCUCAGUGAUCAGUAAUUCCACAUAUAGCUGCACAAAACUCUUUUCAGUAUAUUCUGAUGUAGUAAAACCUUUUUAUUCAGUCUUACUCAGAAUGCUGCACAUUUCAGGCUAGUUCACUGUUAAAAGAUCAAUGUUUAUAUAGGUUAGGGCAGGCUAAAUAAUGGCUCUGCAUAAUACUUCCAUAUUGCGCAUGGCGACUUUUGUUUGCCUGGGUGUAACUAACGAAUUUGUGUUUAUCAUAUGAACAGAAUCUCAAUGCUGUGUUUUGUUCUGCUUCACAGUUCAUUUAGACUGGGAUUUACUGUGGAAAAAGUCUUCAUAAAUAAUGCAAUACAGAGAGAAAAUCCCAUAAACAACAGAUGUCUCCCAAACCGACUUUCAUUUCAUUUCAAAAUUAAGUAUUUGAAAAGUUUGUUUUUUUUAUGAACUCACUUAAGUGGUUAAAAUCUCAUCCUUUUUAUUAGUAUUCCUUAUUGUGUGAGUGCACCUAGACAUUUUUACUGAAGCUGCAAUUAUAAAAACAUAAUUUGGUUUGUGUUGUGUAGAGCUGCUCAUCUUAGCCAAUAUAUUGUUUUUGUCUCGUACUCUUCAUUUUAUUUUGAUAUCUGUAAAUAGAUUUUCUUUCUAUUUAGGUCACGUGGAUUGUAUAUUGUAAAAUAUACAUGUGAAGACAUAAUGUAUGUACAGUAAAGAUGUAAGGCGCUAUUUUUUCUUGUAAACUAUUUUUCUUGUGAAUUAUUUAUAACAUUAACUACUGCUGUGUGUUCAGGUUUUCUAGAGUCGGAUCCCCCCAUGUACAGUUGUAAACCGGUUUAGUACCAUAAUAUAAUAUAUAAAGUAGCCUUAUAAAUUAUCAUGUUUUCAUUCAACACUGUGGUCGAACAUUUUUUAAUGUAGACUGAUGCACAAUAUGAAGGCAGUUAACACUAAUCACAACAAAAAUAUGUGACAUUUAGUGACUUAUGACUAGUGUGACUUUUAUUAUUUUUAAAUAUCAUCAAAUUAUCUUAAAAAGCUAUUAGAAAUUAAUUAAACAUGCAUUUAACACACUAUAACGCUCAAAGUAAAAAACUGUAAUAAAAAGGUUAUUAUAUUCACCAGUUAAUAACUAUUUCUUAUUUUGCCUUUAAAUUAUGAAUCAAUUGUUAUUCCAUUAAGUGGCUGUCUGAUGUUAGACGCCCUCUGGUGGCUGUAUUAAACAUCUGCAUGUGUUGACUAAAUAUUUAGAAGAAAACAAACGCACAACAACAAUAAAUGUACUUGGUUAUUUU